UACGUAGGGGGCAAGCGUUGUCCGGAAUCAUUGGGCGUAAAGAGCGUGUAGGCGGCCCGGUAAGUCCGCUGUGAAAGUCGAGGGCUCAACCCUCGAAUGCCGGCGGAUACUGUCGGGCUAGAGUCCGGAAGAGGCGAGUGGAAUUCCUGGUGUAGCGGUGAAAUGCGCAGAUAUCAGGAGGAACACCUACGGCGAAGGCAGCUCGCUGGGCCGAUACUGACGCUGAGGAGCGAAAGCGUGGGGAGCGAACAGG
rnacentral:rRNA from 1 species